UUUCCGUAGGUGAACCUGCGGAAGGAUCAUUAUUGUAUAACCGAGGUGCGAGGGCUGUCGCUGACCCGAAAGGUCGUGCACACCCGAGUGCCCUCACACACAUCCAUCUCACCCCUAUGUGCACCACCGCGCGGGUCCCCCUUUGGCUUGUUCGGAGGGGGGCUUACGUUUUCACACAAACUUUGUAUGCAGUGUAGAAUGUAUUUUUUGUUUUUGCGAUCACGCAAUCAAUACAACUUUCAACAACGGAUCUCUUGGCUCUC
rnacentral:misc_RNA from 1 species